rnacentral:rRNA from 1 species
AGAGUUUGAUCCUGGCUCAGGACGAACGCUGGCGGCGCGCCUAACACAUGCAAGUCGAACGAGAGAGAGGGAGCUUGCUUCCUCGAUCGAGUGGCGAACGGGUGAGUAACGCGUGAGGAACCUGCCUCAAAGAGGGGGACAACAGUUGGAAACGACUGCUAAUACCGCAUAAGCCCACGGCUCGGCAUCGAGCAGAGGGAAAAGGAGCAAUCCGCUUUGAGAUGGCCUCGCGUCCGAUUAGCUAGUUGGUGAGGUAACGGCCCACCAAGGCGACGAUCGGUAGCCGGACUGAGAGGUUGAACGGCCACAUUGGGACUGAGACACGGCCCAGACUCCUACGGGAGGCAGCAGUGGGGAAUAUUGCACAAUGGGGGAAACCCUGAUGCAGCGACGCCGCGUGGAGGAAGAAGGUCUUCGGAUUGUAAACUCCUGUUGUUGAGGAAGAUAAUGACGGUACUCAACAAGGAAGUGACGGCUAACUACGUGCCAGCAGCCGCGGUAAAACGUAGGUCACAAGCGUUGUCCGGAAUUACUGGGUGUAAAGGGAGCGCAGGCGGGCGAUCAAGUUGGAAGUGAAAUCCAUGGGCUCAACCCAUGAACUGCUUUCAAAACUGAUUGUCUUGAGUAGUGCAGAGGUAGGCGGAAUUCCCGGUGUAGCGGUGGAAUGCGUAGAUAUCGGGAGGAACACCAGUGGCGAAGGCGGCCUACUGGGCACCAACUGACGCUGAGGCUCGAAAGUGUGGGUAGCAAACAGGAUUAGAUACCCUGGUAGUCCACACCGUAAACGAUGAUUACUAGGUGUUGGAGGAUUGACCCCUUCAGUGCCGCAGUUAACACAAUAAGUAAUCCACCUGGGGAGUACGACCGCAAGGUUGAAACUCAAAGGAAUUGACGGGGGCC